UAAUGGGAAGGUUGUUUGUCUUUCCUUCAUCUUUAAGGUCAGAAAAGCCCCAGCUGUCUACAUCCAGCAGCUUUAAAAAUAUGUAACCUUGUUCAAGAGCAAACUAUCUACUGAACACAUUCUAAACUAAAGGACAUGCUCAGCUGUCUCCCACAUCGGAACAUUCACAUGGCUCCAGAGUUAUAGAAGAGAAUCAAACUAUAACAUCCCAUCUCCCCUAAAAUGCCA